UUUCCAAAAUGCCUUAGUUUUAGAGUUUCUCAUUUUCAUGAAAAUAGUAAAAAUUAACAAAUAUCUAUAGAUAUAAAAUACAAUCCAAUCUCCCACAACUCCCAGAUACUGCAGCCAUCACUUUCUAAGGGCUGCGUAAGGAAGCAAAUUAUUUUAGAAUAGUUUUUUUUUCUAGUUUUAUGAAAAAUUACAUUGGUAGGUUGACAGGAAUAGAGUUGAAUCUAUAGAUUGCUUUGGGCAGAAUAACCAUUUACAUUAUGUUGAUUCUUUCAAUCCAUGAGCAUGGAAUAUUUUUCCAUUUAUUUGACAUAAGUUAUUUCUUCUAGCAGUGCUUUGUUCUUCUUGGUGUAAAGAUCUUUCACCUCCUUGGUGAGAUGUACUCCUAGGUAUUUUUUUUUUUGGCUACUGUAAACGGGAUUGUAUUUUUGAUUUGGCUUUCAGCUUGCACAUUAUUGGUGUGUACAAAUGCCACUGAAUUUCGUACAUUGAUUUUGUAUCCUUAAAAUUUACUGAAGUUGUGUAUCAGUUCCAGGAACAUUUUGGUGGAAUCUCUAGGGCUUACUAGGUGUAGAAUCAGGUCAUCCAUGAAGAGAGAUAGCUUGACUUCUUUCCCUAUUUGGGUGCCUUUUAUUUCUUUCUCUUGCUUGAUUGCUCUGGUUAGCAUUCCAGUACUACGUUGAAUGGGAGUGGUGAAAGUAGGCAUUUUUGUCUCAUUCCAUUUCACAAAGGGAAUGCUUCCACUUUU
rnacentral:lncRNA from 1 species